GUAGGUGGCAAGCGUUGUCCGGAAUUAUUGGGCGUAAAGCGCGCGCAGGCGGUUCUUUAAGUCUGAUGUGAAAGCCCACGGCUCAACCGUGGAGGGUCAUUGGAAACUGGAGAACUUGAGUACAGAAGAGGAAAGCGGAAUUCCACGUGUAGCGGUGAAAUGCGUAGAGAUGUGGAGGAACACCAGUGGCGAAGGCGGCUUUCUGGUCUGUAACUGACGCUGAGGCGCGAAAGCGUGGGGAGCAAACAGGAUUAGAUACCCUGGUAGUCCACGCCGUAAACGAUGAGUGCUAAGUGUUAGGGGGUUUCCGCCCCCCUUAGUGCUGCAGCUAACGCAUUAAGCACUCCGCCUGGAUACGGCCGCAAGGCUG
rnacentral:rRNA from 1 species